UUGCAAAGCCCAAUGCAGGGCUCAAACCUAUGAACUGUGAGAUCAUGACCUGAGCCGAAGUAGGACACUUAACUGACUGAGCUACCAGGCGCCCCAGGAAAUGCUUCUCUCUUUAUGCCAACAGAUGGUUAUCGUUUUCCAAAGUUCAGUCAUGUAGGACAAUUUUGCAAUAUCCACUUCCUAACUGUAUUAUUAUUUCCUUAGUGCCGCUCUUUAAAUUGAUGGUUUAAAUGAAAACACAUUUGUUCGACAUCAGCCCCCCCCACCCCCUUUGGGAGAUGCUGCCCUCGCUUUCACUGCCUUGGUGGGAGGGUGAGUGGCAGCAGGUUCACUUCUGGGGGCAGGGGGGACUCACCUGCCAAUGUGAGGAGAAGGGCCGGGGUCACUCUCUUCAUGAUACAGCUUCAGGGCAGGGCUGCAGGGGAGGGGGACAGGCUGGGGUCAGAUAGCCCUGACCUGCCGGAGGCUCACAGUCCCUGAGGCAAAGAACCAGGGCACAAAUCCCAAGGGUGCACUUGGCUUAUGAGGUGGUUUGGGGAAAGUUACCAAUUUCUAGUAGUAAUGACUAGUGGAGUGACAUAUAUUCAGCUACUACUAGUUAAGUAUUUAGAACAGUGCUUGCAUGGAGUAAGUGGUUUGUUAAAGUCUUCGUUAAAGUCUUUAAUCAGAUGCCUGACUCUUCGGUCAGAGGAGCAGAGCUGCUGUGCUAACUCAGGUUUUGGUGCCUGCCUUCCUAACCCCCACUCAAAAGGCGAAGGCACCCUGAGCUAUUUUUCCCAAAGGUCUGGGCCUCAGGCACUAUCAGGAUGAAUUCCAAGAUAGUCUCUGCAAAGGGCCACCCUGGGCUGAGCAGCAGAGGAGGGAGCAGCUGAGCAGGCGAAAGGUGGUGGUGGAGGCAGGUGAGAGCCACCCACCUCAGCCCCAGCCAGGGAUCUUGUUCCAAGGCGGCCCCAAAUUCCACUCUGAGUACAGACUGCUAUUGACAGGAAACUGACAGAAGGAAGGAUCAUUACUCCUUUUUUCUUUCUCCUUGGGGUGAGAACUAUCCAUGUCUCUAUUUACUAGUUCAGAGGGUGGCUGUUUCCUUAAGAUAAGACCCCUUCCAGCUUUCUGCAUGUUGUUAGCUGCAGGCAAGCAUAGGGAUUGUCAGCUGUUGCAAACUGAAGCCCUCGUUGUGAUCUGCUGAGCCCAAAGGGCUGGAACUCUAAUCCCCUCAAAACCACCGAUCAACUGUGUGACUCAGUGGGUUACUUAACCACUCUGUGCUUCAGUGUCCUGUAAAACGAGGAUAAUUAAUAGUAACUGCAAAAGGUUAUGAUUGAAUUAAAUGAGUUACUAUAUGUGAAGCCUAAGAAUAAUGCCUAGCACAUAGUAUGGAAUGAAAUGUGUGUUACGAUAAACAAAUACAUAGCCCUUUACUUGCUAGGUGGAAUGUUUUCCUGAUUCGUGAAUCGCUUAAUAAAGCCAAUUUGAUACAUAAAUACAUGCAUACAUACAUAGGUCCUUUUGUCCUGGAUGGGAGGACUAUUAAUGUGCAGCUUCUGGACGUGGGAGUCUGUCGGCUUUUAACAGUCUCUGCAGCCAGCCCUCCUUUGGACUCGUCCCUCCCUCACCACCCUCAAUAAUGAGGGUUGCAACUCCACUUUACAUACUCCUUAGCCAAAGGCUGGCUUCUGUUUCCUCCAGCCCACCGUGGGUUACACGGUCCAUAUGAUGGUGGUCAUAGAGCAAGUAGCCUCCAAUCCUCAAAACCCUCAAACAUGCAUCCUAUUACUGAUGAUACCCAGGCACCUGCCACCCCUUCCUCAGACAGGUACCUCCUCCAC